rnacentral:rRNA from 1 species
UACGGGGGGGGCAAGCGUUGUUCGGAAUUACUGGGCGUAAAGGGCUCGUAGGCGGCCAACUAAGUCGGAUGUGAAAUCCCCAGGCUUAACCUGGGAACUGCAUCCGAUACUGGAUGGCUUGAAUCCGGGAGAGGGAUGCAGAAUUCCAGGUGUAGCGGUGAAAUGCGCAGAUAUCAGGAGGAACACCUAUAGCGAAGGCAGCUCGCUGGGACGGUACUGACGCUGAGGCGCGAAAGCGUGGGGAGCGAACAGG